rnacentral:lncRNA from 1 species
CACUGUUGGGAUCUGAGCAUUGUUCUUGAAAUCUAAAAUCGGCAGAAGACUAACACUCCAAUAUAUGAAAUAUCACUAUAGUUUAAUGUUCAGAUUUUACAAGGAAAUCAAGCUACUUAACAAACAUAUUUCAGCCAUUUCAAGUUGACCAUUUCAGUAAAAUCAAUCAUGAAGUUAAUAUGUCCCUAAAUUCGUGGACAUAUAUAAAGAUAAGCAGUAUGUACAUAGAGCAACCAAAUCAUAUAUUUGGUCAGUGUAUUUUGAGGUAAAGUAUAUACUGCAGCAAAAGCAUUAUCAACUAACAGCAUAAAUCUGGACUGAUUGAAUAGAAACUUUGAUAGGACUUUAAAACUCUUACUCAGGAUUAAAAUUGUGGAAACCAGGGGAGAUACCCAAGCAUGUUUAAACUUAAGAAUAUUUCAUGAAAGUGAUGUUUCUAUACAAAUGUUUAUAAAGAAAGCGGUCGUUAUUUUUCUUAGAUGGACAUAGCAAUUGAUUGUGGUUGUUCUUAAUCAGUACCAGCUUUCAAUCAGACAGACGAAACAGCUGAUUAAGAUGAGAACAGACUAAUAUGACUGUAUGCUAAGCCUGUUGAUUUCAUGAGACGGUCUUGUGGGCAUGAAGGGCAAGGUG